rnacentral:rRNA from 1 species
UGAGCAAUCUGCCCUUCACAUCGGAAUAACCAUUGGAAACGAUGGCUAAUACCGAAUAUGACUUCGGAUCGCAUGAUCUGAAGUGGAAAGCUCCGGCGGUGAAGGAUGAGCUCGCGGCCUAUCAGCUUGUUGGUGAGGUAAUAGCUCACCAAGGCGAUGACGGGUAGCCGGCCUGAGAGGGUGACCGGCCACACGUGGGACUGAGACCAGGCCC